rnacentral:tRNA from 5 species
CCGCCGUCGGGCUGGUGGCCGCCGGCGCCGGCAUCGCCGUGGUGCCGCGGCUGGCGUGGCAGGCCGGCUCGUAUCCGGGGCUGCGGG